rnacentral:lncRNA from 1 species
CUGGACUUUAGCUGUGUCCACUGGAGAGGGCAGUGGCUGCCUGGUGCAAGUGUCUGUCAGGGUGAGUAAAACGGUCUUCAUGUGAGUGGUAGAGGCUGAAGCUGGGAAUGCCCAGUGUUCCAAACAUGGUGUGAUGGAUCAAAGACCAAGCGGACCUCUGACAGUCUCGUGACUCUGUGCAAACAGCAGCUAUCCUGGGCUAUUCUAGGAGGCUUCCUUCACUCCCCACAGCAGGAGUUCCAUUGGUACCAGAUGUCUGGAGAGAGAAAACCAAACUCAAGUCACCCUGCUCUGUCCCCAGAAGCCCUCCCGUUAGAGCCAGGCAGCCGCUGUGGAGCAAGUUGUGGGAAGAAGUGAAAUUUCACAUCUUUAAGUCUCUGCUCCUCUUGAAAAAAACAGUAGAGUCGUAAAAAGUUCUUUUUGCACGUGUCAACUCCUGUGCUGCAAUAUGCCACGUGAACUUUCUCUGUCAUUACAAGUCCCAUCACUUGGGAAAUGAAGCCGUGAAAUGUCACCCCAAGUGCAUAGGAAGACCUGCUCCUUGCAGCCGGGAACCGUGUCCAGAGUUAGUGUUCCAUGCAUAUGUCACCCUGGUUGUCUGCGAAAGGCUUGCGUCUCUCUCCAUGGGAUUUCUCCAGAAGAACCACAUUCGGGUUUUCUUGUCAAAUUCACGGAGCUCCAGCUAGCAAGGGUAGAGAGCACGCCAGGGAUCGUGCUGUGUGCCCACAGACGAAAGGAGCCCCAGCCCUAAGUC